CACUAGGCAUUGACAAGACUAGAUAUGCUUGAAUUGUCACUCUAGGUUCCAAGAUUAUUAGUGAUGUAAUUUGUGUCUCAACAAAGCUUUCCCAAGUAGAGAGGAAGGUAGGGUUAUACUAGAAAGAGAACUAAAGCUGCUAGCGCCCAGAGUUCAGCUAAGUAGAAUGGCGAGACACCAGUCUUGGGCAUCUGAUGAACUCUGCAAAAUCUACACCCAAGUGAAGACUAUGGAAGCAUGGAUCCAUUGCACCUGCUCUUCUCUAAAAUGUAGACCCACGGCAGCAAGAUUUCUUGAAGCUCCUUGCCUUGAAAUAAGAAAAGCUCUUCUCAGAAUCCAAACUUGUCAGAUGACAUCUACCUCUCUCGGACUCAGGAAAAAAAUGUAGUCUGCUCUUCAUUUGGGGUUUUCUUCUUGAUACAGUCAAGCAUAAGUAGCUGAGGUUUACAGACUGUGCUACUAUCCUAUGAGUUCUAACAGGUGUGACUUGGGCCCUGUUCCUCUCCUAGUUCCCAUGUAACAGUGGAAGGAAAAUGAUACUGACUCUUCACCAACUAUCCUAAGGAGAUCCAAGCAAUCAACCCCUUCAAAUGGUACUGCCCCUAGGUUGUAAACCUCUAACUAAUAUCAACUGGCCAUAAACCACACAUCCUACAUGUCUUGCUAACAAACCAACAUAUUAAUGCCAAGCAGCCACCCUAGAGCACAAAUGUCUGGCCCUAAGGUAGCAGAUCAUACUCUGAGAAGACAUGAACCACAAUGUUGGCUGCCUAUACCAAUGAAGACACCCUCUGCAUAGAUGUGCUGAGAGAGAAUGUAGAUCACAUAGUCCAUGCAAAGAGGAAGUCAGCUAAAGGACUUUCUCUGAAGGCCGUUUGUCUUUGGAAGCAAUAUUCCGAGUGGAUUUAAACCACUCUAUUUGAUGACUAGGUCUCAAAUAUGGUCCAUUUUCCCCCACGUCCCAAACUAACACAGCAUCUGCUAACUGGUCUCCUUAAGGUCCUCCACUGGUAUUUUGUAGCUCACUAUGAAGGAAGGAGGUGGUGCUUGACCUGGGCUAUCUGGCCCCUGCUUCUUUGCACAGUUUAUACAGAUGUAAUCUUCAUUUUCAGCCAUUUCUGGAGAUACACCCACACAAAUCUGAUGAAACCAUUCAUCACAGCCACCAUCACAUUGUACCCAGUCUACCUGCAGGAGAUAAGAUUGGGGAAUGUUUAGGUUACAUCAACAGUAAGCCUAGAAUAAAAGCAAACCAAAGAGCUUUCUUGGCUUAAAUAAUAGCAAAUUAUUGAGAUGUCCAAAGAUAGACAAUGACUUCUUAUGGGGUUAUUUUUUUUAAAGAAAGAAGCUGGGAAGUUAAUACCCCAAAAUUAUAUUUUACCAUAAUAUGUCCACAAAAUUAGGCCUCUUAGGUACUCCAUUAUUACCUCAUAAAUACCUGGGGCUCCUUGUGAGGCAGAAACAUGUUUGAGAAACACUUGAUAAAAAAAGGAACUUCUAAUAGAGCAGCCAAGUAGUUUUAGCUAUUAUUAACAAUUUCUAGGCUCUAAGACAAGGCAAUUAUCAA